UCUGUGUAUAAACUGUAUUGAUAAAUUUAAACCAAUAUCUGACUGAAAGACUGAACUAUCACAGAACUGCUCACUCAGUUUUGUUGCUUUUGACUUGAAGGCUUUUCUUCCAGCCACUUGUUUGUAUGUGAAUGGUGCAGACAUGGAUAUAUCAUGAGGAUGGACCGACAUAUGGAAUUGCCUUCGAAAGAAUAUCAAACUGGAUUUCUUUGACUGGAUAUUUCACAUCAUAAGUCCAGAUGAGUCUAUAGUGUAUUUCUUAAGAUGUUAGGAUACUUUCCAUUACCAAAGGAUAUUGUCAGAGGGCUGACUGAAGUGUGCCGACCCACUAACCUUUGGGAAUCCCAUCCGUCUCACGGUCAAACCAAAAAAUCAAUUGGCAACUCCUCCAUUACUGUCCAUUUUGUCCCCUUUGGGGGCAAAUGGACCGGAUAUUUGCCUGGCCGCCGGGUUCUUUCCUGCGGAUAAGACUAUGAUUUUGACUGUGGAAGGUAAAAGCCCGGUGAAACUUAACACCAGCGAAGCACCCUUGUUUCAUUCACAACCUAUUAUUAUGCUGGAUUCAGUAAAGAUGAUGAAUCGAUGAAAUAUGAUGAAGUGCAAAAAUGUGAAAUGGAUGGACGAACAGUAGACAAAAGUGUUGACGUUCCUGAAACAACAGAAAUACCCCCAAUACCGACUCAGUUUUGUCCAACUAGUCUUGGUGCCUCAGAGUUCAUAGACACUGGUGUUCCAAAAAUGAACUCCAUGAAUCUUCUUGUGUCAGGUCUGAGAAUUCUGCUUGCUAAAUGUGUUGCAGUUAAUGCAUUGAUGACUGUCAAGGCGUUCAUAUUUUAAAGGUUCAAUUCAGACAAAUCAUCUGAAUAAUCAAAAAUUGCAACUGUAUCUUGAUCAAAUAUUCAUGCCAAACAGACAAAAGUGAUUAUAGUCAGCCACAAGGUCACUGUUUAUACACUACCAGUCAAAACUUUGGGAUCAGAACGAUUUUUUAUGUUUUUUACAGGAGUUUCUCAUGCUCAUCAAGGCUGCAUUUAUUUGAUCAAAAAAUA